UAACGACUCUCGGCAACGGAUAUCUCGGCUCUCGCAUCGAUGAAGAACGCAGCAAAAUGCGAUACUUGGUGUGAAUUGCAGAAUCCCGUGAAUCAUCGAGUUUUUGAACGCAAGUUGCGCCCGAAGCCUUUCGGCCGAGGGCACGUCUGCCUGGGUGUCAYGC
rnacentral:rRNA from 1 species